GGGGUUGUGGCUCAGUGGUGGAGUGCUCGCCUAGCAUGUGUGAGACCCUGGGUUCAAUCCUCAGCACCACA
rnacentral:tRNA from 1 species